UCCAAAAGGAUAUUUCAAACUGGGGAGCUC
rnacentral:piRNA from 1 species